AGCAGAUGAUUGGGAUUAAAGUGUGCGCAGGCGGUUUGGCAAGUCAGAUGUGAAAUCCCCGAGCUCAACUUGGGAACUGCGUUUGAAACUGCCAGACUAGAAUAUGUCAGAGGGGGGUAGAAUUCCACGUGUAGCAGUGAAAUGCGUAGAGAUGUGGAGGAAUACCAAUGGCGAAGGCAGCCCCCUGGGAUAAUAUUGACGCUCAUGCACGAAAGCGUGGGGAGCAAACAGGAUUAGAUACCCUGGUAGUCCACGCCCUAAACGAUGUCUACUAGUUGUUGGUGGAGUAAAAUCCAUGAGUAACGCAGCUAACGCGUGAAGUAGACCGCCUGGGGAGUACGGUCGCAAGAUUAAAACUAAAAAAUUAGACGGA
rnacentral:rRNA from 1 species